AUGUCGAGCUCCGCUUUAGCCUCCCGCCGCUCAUGGCCGCGCUAUGGCGCAGUGCCCAUGACAAGGUGCCCUGCAUGCCCACGUAUCGCACCCCUGAAGCGGCUAGUCACUACGACCGACAAGAAUGGCAACCUUGGGUGGGAAUUCGUGAAAUGCGAGAGCAAACCAGAGCAGGGAAAGAAAUUGAAGCAACGCACCCAUUUUGAGUGGCUAGAUGAGUACAUAGAGCGGAUUCAACUGGAGGGUGCAUCAGGAGAGCUCGAUUUACCGUUGGAGGCGGAGAAGUUGGGCAAGUUUGGAUCGGGCGCGUCUGGAUCUGGGGCCCCUGGAGGCUGGAUCUGCCCAUUCCAUUGGGGCUACUGUGGGGGAUGCAAGAGUGACGGCAGAGCUGAAGAAGCUGAACAAGCAGAUGAAGAAACUCAUCGAAUUGCAGAAGCAGGGGCAAUUUGA
rnacentral:rRNA from 1 species